CCUACGGGUGGCUGCAGUGGGGGAUAUUGCACAAUGGGGGAAACCCUGAUGCCGCGACGCCGCGUGUGGGAAGACGGUCCUCUGGAUUGUAAACCACUGUCCCCAGGGACGAAAAUGACGGUACCUGGAGAGGAAGCUCCGGCUAACUACGUGCCAGCAGCCGCGGUAAUACGUAGGGAGCGAGCGUUGUCCGGAAUUACUGGGUGUAAAGGGCGUGCAGCCGGAGAUACAAGUCAGAUGUGAAAUCCACGGGCUCAACCCGUGAACUGCAUUUGAAACUGUUUCCCUUGAGUUUCGGAGAGGUAAUCGGAAUUCCUUGUGUAGCGGUGAAAUGCGUAGAUAUAAGGAAGAACACCAGUGGCGAAGGCGGAUUACUGGACGAUAACUGACGGUGAGGCGCGAAAGCGUGGGGAGCAAACAGGAUUAGAUACCCUGUAGUC
rnacentral:rRNA from 1 species